ensembl:lncRNA
AUGGAAGUUGUGAAAACAGAAAAGGUCAAAGUUUCAAAUGCUGUUUUAAUCAGUGGGUUAACUGAUACAGACCUUGAUAACGAAGUCUUUGGGUUUAUGGAAGGAUUCGGACCAGUUAACAGGCGCAUUAAGUUACCAAACUGUGAUCAGAUUAUUGUGGAGUUUCAACAUGAAGCCACUGUUAAGGAAUUAAAGAAACAAUGUUUACCCUAUGACAAACCUUGUACUAGGAACCCAGAUGUUUUCUUUCAUAUUCAAGACCUAGCCAGCGCGUACAGUCUAGAAACUAGCACAUCUGCCACUGAUGCCUAUCUGUCAGAGCUCAGGGACAUAGCUGCGCGUAGCAAUCAAAAACUGCUAUUUUUAGCAUAUUUUUAGGGCCGACGUGUUGCUACCAGACGUACAGUGUGGGCAGUCAGGUCGCAUCCGAGAACUGGGUCGUGCAGUGUGAGCACAUGACUCGUGAGAUCUGCCCUGCGAGGAAGUCGUACAGUUUGAGCUGAAGCUGAGUGCUACGAGUGAAAAGGUUGCACAGUGUCCGCCCGGCUUUAGAAAGGAAAGAGUUCAUGUUGGUGUGAGGCUGCAUGUGCCAACGAGAAACUCCAUCACUGUUUUAGGAGUCUGAUUUGAAACGACUCUUUUCUUUUUCAACUCAAGUCUUUUUUGGCUCAUGUUUUUGAACUUGAUGGUCAGAUUAACGAGACAGUUUGGUUAUGGCCUUUUAUUGAUCUGAUAAUGCUUGACAAAGCUGAGGGAAAUUAAACCUUGUUAGAAGAUGCCAUCAUUUGGUUUAUUCCCAUGUCUCUGAAACCACCAUAUCACUUUCAUAAUUUAGUUUUUUGUCUUACAAAUUAAUCACAGGGAAGCAGUAAAAUAUUCACAAAAAACAAAUGGUGGGAAAAGAAGUUGCUAAAGUGGAAACCAGGUAAAACUGCUCUGAGAAAUGAGCCCUUUCCUAGUGGAAUCAUAAAAACUGAAUAUGUUGAAUUAAAGGUGUUUUUUCUUUUGAAGACAAUCCUAAAUGUUGAAAUAUAAAUAUAAAUCUAAUGGUGGUAAACUUUAUAUAUAUAGUGAACACGUAAACUCUGCUGUUCAGUAAAAGUAGUCAAACAACAAAAAAGCUUCUCUAACUUCACCGAGUCAUCCUUUUGAUGGUAUAAGUUCGUUGGUGCUCUGCAGAAAUCAGCUCCAGACAAAACUUUAUUUAUUUUAUAUCAUUUGUGUAGUGGUCACACUUUAUAGCGUGAAAACUGCAAAUUAAUUAUGACCAAUAAGAUGUGAUGAUUCCAUAUAAAUAUGAAAUAUUAGUCUGAUUGAUCUUUUAAUGUUUAAUCAGAAGGUUACAUUUACUUUUACUUGUUCAGGGACCAUAAACACACUUCGUAUUAUUCAGACAGAGUCAUGUAAAUAGUUAAGGAGUUUUAUUCUUUUCUAAACUAAUGAUUAUACAUGACAAGAUAUGAACAGUGAGAUGUGAUGGAGUGGAUACGCGGUGAUGGGGUGAGAUGUGUAGGUGGUGUGAUGUAAGCUAGAUGUUUAUCAGAAUCUUUGUAUCUGAAAGAAAAUGUGAAAUCUGGGUGUAAAAGAAGUUGUUGUCUGCUAUAAACUAGAGUUGAUUAUUAAUAAAACAGCAUCAGACGCAAUCUGUUGUGUCCACAAACCCUGGCGGAGACCCCCCAGCAGAUCCGGACUGUCAGAAGUCGGGUGGACCUCACGGCACCGGGAUUUCAUAGAUUAACUUCGAU